AGGACUUAAAUAGUUAAUGGUUUGGAGUGCAAGAUCACUUGCAAUUCUUCCAAGAUUGUUCCGAGUUAAACGACAAGCAGCCUAAAAUCAGAACAUCUAGUGCCAUAACCGAGCAAUGGUUUCAAACGGGUUAGCCUAACUUCUGUAGCAAUUGCUCCCG